rnacentral:rRNA from 1 species
UGCUAAUACCGGAUAACAACAGAUGAUGCCUAUCAAACUGUUUAAAAGAUGGUUCUGCUAUCACUCUUGGAUGGACCUGCGGUGCAUUAGCUAGUUGGUAGGGUAACGGCCUACCAAGGCGAUGAUGCAUAGCCGAGUUGAGAGACUGAUCGGCCACAUUGGGACUGAGACACGGCCCAAACUCCUACGGGAGGCAGCAGGG